rnacentral:rRNA from 1 species
UACGUAGGGGGCAAGCGUUGUCCGGAAUCAUUGGGCGUAAAGAGCGUGUAGGCGGCCCGAUAAGUCCGCCGUGAAAGUCCAGGGCUCAACCCUGGAAUGCCGGUGGAAACUGUCGGGCUGGAGUCCGGAAGAGGCGAGUGGAAUUCCUGGUGUAGCGGUGAAAUGCGCAGAUAUCAGGAGGAACACCGGUGGCGAAGGUGGGUCUCUGGGCCGUAACUGACGCUGAGGAGCGAAAGCGUGGGGAGCGAACAGG